GACGAACGCUGGCGGCGUGCUUAACACAUGCGAGUCGAGCGAUGAAGCUCCUUCGGGAGUGGAUUAGCGGCGGACGGGUGAGUAACACGUGGGUAACCUGCCUCAUAGAGGGGAAUAGCCUUCCGAAAGGAAGAUUAAUACCGCAUAAGAUUGUAGUGCCGCAUGGCAUAGCAAUUAAAGGAGUAAUCCGCUAUGAGAUGGACCCGCGUCGCAUUAGCUAGUUGGUGAGGUAACGGCUCACCAAGGCGACGAUGCGUAGCCGACCUGAGAGGGUGAUCGGCCACAUUGGGGAUGAGACACGGCCCAGACUCCUACGGGAGGCAGCAGUAGGGAAUAUUGCACAAUGGGGGAAACCCUGAUGCAGCAACGCCGCGUGAGUGAUGACGGUCUUCGGAUUGUAAAGCUCUGUCUUCAGGGACGAUAAUGACGGUACCUGAGGAGGAAGCCACGGCUAACUACGUGCCAGCCGCCGCCGUAACAC
rnacentral:rRNA from 1 species